rnacentral:tRNA from 1 species
GACUUCGUGGUCUAAUGGAUAAGGCGUCUGACUUCGAAUCAGAAGAUUGCGGGUUCGAGUCCCGUCUGGGUCG